rnacentral:rRNA from 1 species
CCCCUAGAUGUUCUGGGCCGCACGCGCGCUACACUGAACAGUUCAACAAGUCUUAACCUUGGCCGAUAGGUCUGGGUAAUCUUUGAACGCUGGUCGUGAUGGGGAUAGACUUUUGCAAUUUUUGGUCUUCAACGAGGAAUUCCUAGUAAACGCAAGUCAUCAGCUUGCAUUGAUUACGUCCCUGCCCUUUGUACACACCGCCCGUCGCACCUACCGAUUGAAUGGUCCGGUGAAAUCUCGGGACGGCGGCUUGGUCGCUUGCGUCCGACUGCUGAAACUUGAUUAAACCAUAUCAUUUAGAGGAAGGUGAAGUCGUAACA